rnacentral:lncRNA from 1 species
AUAAACAUUAGGUCCAAAUCCAAUCCAUAUAUUUUGAUCAAAGUGGAGUUGCUGCUGCUGAGUGUUGACACCUGACGGGCGGCGAGAGGUGUUGGGCGACGAGACGACUCGCCGUCGACCUUCCAAUCUCCGGUCUUAGAGUCUCAGAGUGUGAAUCUGUGAUCCCCUUUUCUUUCUCUCUCUCCCUCUCUGUUUUUUUUUUUUCAUUAAAUUUUUGUUUUUGGUUUUUGUCCUAUGUUUUGUCAAUGAUAUAGCAGAGUAAAUUUCGUUUCAGGGGUUUGAAGAUGACUGUCGAGUGUUGAUUACUGGGGAGCCUUCUUAAUGAUGCAUUUCAAAGAGAAGUUGGGAACCAAUUCAUGGAGAAAGUUUAAAGGACUCUGGACUAGAGUCCUCACUCCUCGCUCAGGUUCCUUCAGAUUUUUUUUUUCAACGCUGACUCUUAAAGAUUUUUCUGUUUUUCAUUUGUUCUUCCUGCUUUCCUAAAUUAUGGGCUCUACUAGGUUGUUGUUGUUGUUGUUGUUAUUAUUUAUUUAUUUAUUUAUUUAUUUUGCAGAAUUUUCGCAUAUCUGUUUUAAUAUGCAUUUGGUCUAUUAAAUUUCAGAGUGCGUUUUGUUGCAUCAUUGUUCCCCCUUUUUUUCCCCUUUUCCAAGAGAAUGUUGUAUGUACGUGGAUAAUGUUAUCAAUCUUGUAUGUUCUAUUUGUUAUGAUUGUGAUUUAUGAUAAGUAAUUUAUGUUUUGGGGCCGUUCCUUAGACACGUGAAUUUGACAAACGUUUUUGACAAAUAAUCCGGGGCCUUUAAUUAAAUCGAUCCAACGCUCACAAUUUAUCUAUCAAAACAAUAAAAAAUUCAUAAAUCUUACAUCCAAUCACCCCCAAUUAACUUAUAUUAAUCCCUAAAAUCUCUCAACUAAACCCUGAUUUUCCAUCCUCAUCUCAUUCCAUACUCCAUCACCAUCCAAAUUCAUCAUCUCUCUCACAGAAGACUGAAUCUCUCUUGAAUCCGACUGCAGCCUCCUAAUAGUAGCCACAACUGCAAGUUCUUGAAGUCCUGCUCAAAAUACUGACAAUGGCUAAUAUUGUGUACUUCACAGAUAUACAAGAUCGGAAUUUUUUUGUUAUUAACAUAAGGUUAAGAUUGUGUACUUCACUGAAAUUUGAUUUCUUAAUCAAAGAUGAUGGUGAAAUCGUUAACUGGUUUUGAAUUAGGUCAAACAUAGAGGAUUCCAAACCACAUAUUAUAAUUUCAUAGAGGGGGAAUUCAACAACAUUAUACAACAAAAUUCCUGGGGCAAAAUUAUAAGAAAUUCUUGGAGACUUUGGAUGAUAUUGAAGUAAAAGAAGAUGCCGUCCCAAAGUGUUGAAGAUGUUCA